CCUCCGCCGGCGACCGGCGCACGGGUGAGUAACACGUAUGCAACCUGCCCCUGUCAGGGGGACAACCCGCCGAAAGGCGGGCUAAACCCGCGUACAUGCCACCGGGGCAUCCCGGAGGCAGGAAAGGCUUCGGCCGGACAGGGAUGGGCAUGCGGCGCAUUAGGCAGUAGGCGGGGUAACGGCCCACCUAACCGACGAUGCGUAGGGGUUCUGAGAGGAAGGUCCCCCACACUGGUACUGAGACACGGACCAGACUCCUACGGGAGGCAGCAG
rnacentral:rRNA from 1 species